rnacentral:lncRNA from 1 species
CCUAAGAGAAGAAGAAUUAUGCCUUAUGACUCAUUUGUGACCAAAAUUGAUGAAUCUAUGUUUUACCCUUUUGUUCAAAUAACUCCCAUGCUAUUGAUGUAUAAUGUAGAUAUUGUUGUAAUGCUCAUUAUAUUAGAGUAUGAAAUUAUGACAUUGAUUAUAUGUAUUCCUACUAUGUACAAGAUUAUGAUAACCAUGUACUUCAUGAAAUCUCCAACUUAUUGUAUUAUGGAUUGUUGAUGUUAGUCAUGUAUUCAAGAAUGUUAUGCCUUGUCAGUUUCCUUCUAUCGAGUCCUGGGAGUACUUGUACCCAAAAAUUUAACUGUGUGCCUAGAAUUAGUGUUAUAUUUUCAAGAUACUCUUAGUCAAGCCAUGAUCCAUAGAACUCAGUCAGUCAUGUGACUCAGGAAAAACUCAGUAAACUCAAUAAUUCAGUAAUAUCAGUAGUAUUUUAUCAGUCAACGAAACUCAAUGAACUCAGUCCAGAUCAGUUCAGUUAAUCAUGUUCAGUGUCUAUUCAGAUGGGAGUAGGAUUUAGCACCGAGUAAACCCAAGAAGGAGGACACACACUGACAGAUGAGGGUGUGAUCUUUAGAAGUAAUCCUUUCAUUCUAGAACUAUAUAGCCAGCAUAGGUUGAG